UGUGUUUUUGUUUCAUUAGCUUCAAUUAAUAUUUUAUAUUUAUAAGAGCAUAUAUAUAUGCAAACGUGCGUCGAUGGAAUAAGCUUAUGUGUAAGACUUGUUUUCUUUUAAGUUAUCAAAAAAUAUUCUCACAACAGUGUUGUAAUUUUUACUAAUGCUUUAAUUUUAAUAUAGUCAUAUAUAUAUACAUGUAUAUAUAUAUAUAUAUAUAUAUAUAUAUAUAUGUGAUAGUAAAGUUAGGUAUAUAUUUUUAUCAUAGUUAUUAUUAUUAUUAUUAUUAUUAUUACAAUUUGUUUUUUUAAUAUACUUUUUAAUUUGUUAAAAAUUGUUUGUGUCUUAUACACGCAUGCGUAUAUAUGUAUGUACACUAUAGUUCAUGUUUUAAAAAAUGGUACCUGAAAGUAAUUUAAGACCCGUUGUCUCAAAUUUGUUCAGAUGUAUAUCAGAGGAAAUUGCUAAGGAACAACCAAGAAAUGUAAUUCAUUUUAUGGUUGAUUAUUUAUUUAAAAAUUAUGCAUCGGACUUAAAAGGUUUCGAUAAAGUAUGGAAUGUAGAUAUGGAACUAGAAAAAGAAAAGAAAUUAGUCAUAUUAUUUUUUAAACACCAAAAAUUGACUACUGAAAUCGCAAAGCAUUUUAUGAAUGUUGGAUUUGAUAGUAUUGAUGCUUUGCAAUGCUUAAACGUUCAUAUUUUAGACGACAUAGAAAAUUUUAAUAAAAUUAAGUGGUUACCCGGGCACAAAAUAAGGCUACAAGUUAUAAUUCAAACUUACACAUUUUAUAUACAUUUUUUUUUGUCACUUAUUUUGUUUUGUCACUUAUUUUGUUUUGUCAUUUAUUUUGUUUUGUCAU
rnacentral:lncRNA from 1 species